rnacentral:rRNA from 1 species
UACGUAGGAGGCAAGCGUUGUCCGGAAUUACUGGGCGUAAAGCGCGUGUAGGUGGUGGGACAAGUCUGCUGUGAAAGCGCCUGGCUUAACCGGGCGAGGUCGGCGGAAACUAGCCGACUAGAGGACGGUAGAGGGGGGUGGAAUUCCCGGUGUAGUGGUGAAAUGCGUAGAGAUCGGGAGGAACACCUGUGGCGAAGGCGGCCCCCUGGGCCGGCCCUGACACUGAGACGCGAAGGCGUGGGGAGCGAACGGG